GAGUGUUUUUAAGUGGUCUGUGUGUGUUUCUAGUGUUUCUAGUUUAGUUAUGGGUUUAUUUAUUAAUAUUUUGAAGUGUUGCGUAGUGUUUUGAGUGUGUUUUGAGUUAAUGUCCUCACUUACUUUUGUUACUCUUGUAUAAUUUCAUGGUAUGAUGGACGCAGCUGAGGUGGGCCUCCGGUGCGGCCAGGCAGUUCAGCCUUGCCGUCAACCCUCCAUGUGAUGAGUCCGCAGAAAACGACACGCUGAUUUAUUUGAAGUCAAGGACGGAGCCUUGAAAAACACCACACCCGUUUUGUCCACCGCCAUCACCACCUUCUCCCAGAUCAAGGACAAAGUGUAUUACAGACUCACACAUAAGGAAGAUAUGCGUGUGAUUGUGUUUGGCACGCCAUCACACACAACCUGCAGUUCAUGCUUGGGACGGGACACACUGGGACAGCCUCGGACCGUUGGUGGGAGCAAGACAAGGCUGUGGCAAUUUUGCCACUCAGACCUGUUGCCUUGUUACUAUUAUUGCACAUCCUAAGAAGAACUCGUGGAGACCACACCACAGCUGCAUAUUCCAGCCUUGGGCGUAUCAUGCUUGUGAU